AACGAACGCUGGCGGCAUGCCUAACACAUGCAAGUCGAACGAGAUCUUCGGGUCUAGUGGCGCACGGGUGCGUAACGCGUGGGAAUCUGCCCUUUGGUUCGGAAUAACAGUUGGAAACGACUGCUAAUACCGGAUGAUGACGAAAGUCCAAAGAUUUAUCGCCAGAGGAUGAGCCCGCGUAGGAUUAGCUAGUUGGUGUGGUAAAGGCGCACCAAGGCGACGAUCCUUAGCUGGUCUGAGAGGAUGAUCAGCCACACUGGGACUGAGACACGGCCCAGACUCCUACGGGAGGCAGCAGUGGGGAAUAUUGGACAAUGGGCGAAAGCCUGAUCCAGCAAUGCCGCGUUAGUGAUGAAGGCCUUAGGGUUGUAAAGCUCAUUUACCCGGGAUGAUAAUGACAGUACCGUGAGAAUAAGCUCCGGCUAACUCCGUGCCAGCAGCCGCCGUAA
rnacentral:rRNA from 1 species